AUACGUAGGUGGCAAGCGUUGUCCGGAUUUACUGGGUGUAAAGGGCGCGUAGGCGGGAGUGCAAGUCAGGUGUGAAAUCUAUGGGCUCAACCCAUAAACUGCACUUGAAACUGUAUUUCUUGAGUGUCGGAGAGGUAGAUGGAAUUCCUAGUGUAGCGGUGAAAUGCGUAGAUAUUAGGAGGAACACCAGUGGCGAAGGCGAUCUACUGGACGAUAACUGACGCUGAGGCACGAAAGCGUGGGGAGCAAAUAGGAUUAGAUUCCCUAGUAGUCCACGCCGUAAACGAUGAAUACUAAGUGUUGGAGAAAUUCAGUGCUGCAGUUAACGCAAUAAGUAUUCCGCCUGGGGAGUAUGCACGCAAGUGUGAAACUCAAAUGAAUUGACGGGG
rnacentral:rRNA from 1 species